CUUGAUUCUUUUGGUAUGUCAUAGCCAUUAACCUUGCUGUCUUCCCUUGCAUAGUGAGGAACCAACAGUGGAGCCACUGGAUGCAUCCUGAAGGUUUCCUUUACAACCAUGUCGAGAUAUUCGAGUUUGUCCAGUUCUGAAAGUAUCCACUCAACUGAUGAUGCUGAUGAGUCCAUUGAACCUAUGAGCAAGUCCUGCACAUCAUAAUGGCCUUGACAUGACGCCGGUCAAACUGAAAUUCAGCUUGACCACUUUGCAUUAUGGACAUCAUGGUAUCAACGAUAUCUUUGGUCUGGUCAUGACGAUCCCCUGCUCGAACAUGGUCUUCUAUAAUUUUCUCAAAGAAAUCAUCAAAAACUUCUGCAAGUGCCUUCAUCUUCCUUGUCAGACCUUGGAGAUCCAGGACUCCAAGGAAAGGAAAGUAAUCACCCAAAUUGGGAGCUGCAGCUAGUUUCAUCACUUCUUGGAUCACAGUUUUGAAGCCUCUCUCAUCUAUGUCUUUGUCAUCAUAUUUCUUGCCAAACACCAUCCUGCAGCCUGUCUCUGCAGUCAGGGACCAGACCUUGGCACUAAGAUCGACAGCAACAUGUAGUCUGGAAGCUUCCUUGAUGGAUUCAACAAAAAGACCAAUCUCUUCCCUUCUCAUUGGUUGGAAAGAAUUGAUCUUAUGGUUGCUGAGCAGCUCCAAGGUGCAUAACUUGCGCAUGUUCCGCCAGUAUGGACCAUACUCCCCGAACGACAAGUUCCUCUGAUCCCAUGACACAUAUUUAGAGCCCUGAUGAGGUGGUCUGCUGGCAAAAACAAGGUCAUGCGUCUUGAGGAAAAUCUCAGCUGCCUCAGGAGAUGAGACAACGAUGUUUGGAACGAAUCCAAAUUGCAUAUACAUAAUGGGGCCGUGGUCUUUGGCAAUUCUUUGCAGAUCUUGGUGAGGAUUCUUCCCCAGCAUGUGUAGAUGUCCCAGAAUAGGGAUCCCAUUUGGACCUGGAGGCAGUCUUCCCGUCUUCUUCCUCCUCCUCGCCAACGAAACAAAAGAACCAGCUAAAAUGGCCACGACAGUAAGCCAAAACCAAGAAGCAAAUUCUUACAAGUUUGCUAUAAAAGCUAGUUCUGCAACCGGAAGGUAGGGAUUGCCAUGAGAUGAUUGGUCCUUGAAACAACAAUGCCAAAUUCCUCUUUUAUGCCCAGCUCCUCUGGCAACAUAUCAUUUGGCAGCUUCCAGUCGAAGCAGUGGACUAAUUGUGACACGAUUAACUGAACUUGAAUGAGCCCCAGUUGGAUUCCAGGGCGACCUCUCCUCCCAGAGCCAAAUGGGAGGAGCUGGAAAUGUUGUCCCCUAACAUCAAUGUCACUGCCAGUGAACCUCUCUGGAAUGAACAUCUCGGCAUCAAUCUAUACAUUUGGAUCGCGCCCAAUUGCAUAUGUGUCGACGAUUAUUCUUGAUUCUUUUGGUAUGUCAUAGCCAUUAACCUUGCUGUCUUCCCUUGCAUAGUGAGGAACCAACAGUGGAGCCACUGGAUGCAUCCUGAAGGUUUCCUUUACAACCAUGUCGAGAUAUUCGAGUUUGUCCAGUUCUGAAAGUAUCCACUCAACUGAUGAUGCUGAUGAGUCCAUUGAACCUAUGAGCAAGUCCUGCACAUCAUAAUGGCCUUGACAUGAUGCCGGUCGAACUGAAACUCACACUCUCCACUCUGCAUUAUGGACAUCAUGGUAUCAACAAUGUCUUUGGCCUGCUCAGGAUGAGAUCCAGCUCGAACAUGGUCUUCUAUAACUUUCUCAAAGAAAUCAUCAAAAACUUUUGCGAGUGCCGUCAUCUUCCUUGUCAGCCCUUGAAGAUCCAAGACUCCAAGGAAAGGAAAGUAAUCACCCAAAUUGGGAACUGCUGAUAGUUUCAUCGCUUCUUGGAUCACAGCUUCGAAUCCUCUCUCACCUAUGUCUUUGUCAUCAAUCAUCAUAUUUCUUACCAAACACCAUUCUGCAGCUCAUCUCUGCCGUCAGGGAUGCGACCUUGGCACUAAGAUCGACCACAGUGUGUAGUCUGCAAGCUUCCUUAAGGGAUUCAACAAAAUAACCAAGCUCUUCCCUUCUCAUAGGUCGGAAAGAAUUGAUCUUAAAGGUGCUGAGCAGCUCUAAGGUACAUAGCUUGCACAUGUUCCGCCAAUACGGACUGUAAGCCCCAAAUACCAGAUUCCUUUGAUCCCAUGCCAGAUACUUAGCAGCCUGAUGAAGUGGUCUGCUGGCAAAAACAAGAUCGUGUGUCUUGAGGAAAAGCUCAGCUGCCUCAGGAGAUGAAACGACGAUGAUUGGAGCGAAUCCAAAUUGCAUGUACAUAAUCGGGCCGUGGUCUUUGGCAAUCCUGUGCAGGUCUUGGUGAGGAUUCUUCCCCAGCAUGUGUAGAUGUCCCAAAAUAGGUAUCCCUUUUGGACCUGGAGGCAGCUUCUUCUUCCUCCUCGUUGCCAAAGAAACCAAAGAACCAGCUAAAAUGGCUACGACCGUAAGCCAAAACCAAGACCAAGCAUGUGGAAGUUGACAAACACUUUAUCAAGGAAAAACCUGAAGCCAGGAUUGUGGAAUUGCCUUUUUUUUGCUCGGAGGAUCAACUUACCGAUAU